GAUGUCUUUCAAGGCCCCAAAGUAAAGGCUCCAAGCGCCUCUCCCCCGCUUUAUAAACGUCUUCCUUCUCAACUUCAACGCUCAAUGCUCUUCUUAUGAACCCCCCUCUCUGUGUCAGUCCAGUGGCAGAAAGAAAGAAUCGUUACUAGGAGUAUUAUAUUUGAUACUUAAAAGAAACCAGACUAAAUUGGACUAUUGUGAUGGAGUUAACCUUUUACUCAAUAAAACCCCAAUUUUUAUCCUUGAGUGAUACGAGUAAGAGGUAUUAUUCGUCACUUUACACUUUGUCUUGUAAGAGUUGUUCAUCUCUUCAGGUAUCUCAGAGCUCUUCUAUCCUUCCUAUGAAGCAGAAAUUAACCCCCAGACCUUUAAGGGUUCGCUCCGAAUAUGAAGCUAAAGUCAAUGGAGCUCUUUCUGCUGACUCUGAUCCUCGUUUUCUUGACCGGCAAAAAGCAUUGGAAACAGCAAUGAAUGACAUAAACAACUCAUUUGGGAAAGGAAGUGUUACAAGACUUGGCGGUGCAGGCGGGGCCUUGGUUGAAACUUUUCCAAGUGGCUGCUUGACAUUAGACAUUGCGUUGGGUGGUGGCCUUCCCAAAGGGAGAAUCGUGGAGAUUUAUGGACCGGAAAGUAGUGGAAAGACCACUCUUGCACUCCAUGCAAUUGCGGAAGUACAGAAGCUAGGUGGUAAUGCAAUGCUUGUCGAUGCUGAGCAUGUUUUUGAUCCAGCUUACUCAAAGGCAUUGGGGGUAGAUGUAGAAAAUUUGAUUGUCUGCCAACCUGAUAAUGGAGAGAUGGCUCUAGAGAUUGCGGAUCGCAUGUGUAGAUCUGGUGCUGUGGAUCUCAUUUGCAUUGAUUCAGUGUCAGCUCUUACCCCACGAGCUGAAAUAGAAGGAGAAAUUGGAAUGCAGCAAAUGGGUUUGCAGGCAAGGCUUAUGAGUCAAGCUUUGCGUAAAAUGUCAGGCAAUGCUUCAAAAGCUGGAUGCACUCUUAUUUUCCUGAAUCAAAUAAGAUACAAGAUUGGUGUAUACUAUGGAAACCCUGAAGUCACUAGUGGAGGGAUUGCUUUGAAGUUCUUUGCAUCAGUUCGACUUGAGAUACGGCCUAUUGGGAAGAUAAAGUCAAGGGAGAUGAAGAGAUUGGUCUUAAGGUUCGUGUACGAGUUCAAAAGAGUAAGGUUUCGAGGCCUUACAAGCAAGCUGAAUUUGAAAUCAUAUUCGGAGAGGGUGUUAGCAAGUUGGGUUGUGUUUUGGAUUGUGCUGAAAUAAUGGAUAUUGUGCUAAAGAAGGGCUCAUGGUAUAGCUAUGCGGAUCAGAGGUUGGGGCAAGGAAGAGACAGAGCGUUACAGUACUUGAAAGAAAACCCCUUACUGAGUGAAGAAGUAGAGAAGAUGGUUCGCUCUGCCAUGGCAGAGGGAGUUGGACACGUAGGCUCAUCUUACAUGAAAUUGACACCUCCACAGCAUGAAGAUGAAGAUAUUUUCCAUGAGAUGCAACGAGAAUGAUGAAAUGCUUCACGUUACAGAGAUCUGGAUGAUUGGAUGGAAGACUUGAGGGCAUAGGUUACAUUGCUCCAUGACAAAACAAUGUGAAUUGGUGCGGUUCACGUCAGUCGGUAAAGGCUUACAGGUGAUGGGGAGAGUAACGACUUGGAGUUCAUGCUCAUAUGAGAUUUGUUUGACAAUGCAGACGUAUUUUGUCAUCAAUUUUGGGGAAGAACAAGUUCAUUUAGUUUAGUACCCUAAUGAGGAAUGUACAGUUUACUGGGACUUGGAGGGCAUUGAGGGGGUGCUGGGAGGGUCACAUAUUGUAAUAUCCAUAUCCUCUUUCCAAAGACAGUUUGAACAUUCGCAUAAAAUUUUUAAUGAUAUUGAGUGAGCAAGUUUUCUUUA